AUGAACGCUAGCGGCAGGCUUAACACAUGCAAGUCGAGGGGCAGCAUACCCGGUGACGGGUGAUGGCGACCGGCGGAAGGGUGAGUAACGCGUGAGCAACAUACCCGUAUCAGUGGGAUAAUACAGGGAAACUUGUUCUAAUAUCACAUAAUAUUAUUCAGAGGCAUCUUUGGAUAUUAAAGUUCAGGCGGAUACGGAAUGGCUCGCGUGACAUUAGCUAGAUGGUAGGGUAAAGGCCUACCAUGGCUAUGAUGUCUAGGGGUUCUGAGAGGGAGGUCCCCCACACUGGAACUGAGACACGGUCCAGACUCCUACGGGAGGCAGCAGUGAGGAAUAUUGGACAAUGGAUGAAAAUCUGAUCCAGCCAUGCCGCGUGCAGGAAGGCGGCCCUAUGGGUUGUAAACUGCUUUUGUACGGGAGCAAUAAGGUCUACGAGUAGAUUGAUGAGAGUACUGUACGAAUAAGCAUCGGCUAACUCCGUG
rnacentral:rRNA from 1 species